rnacentral:misc_RNA from 1 species
GGAGGGAUCAUUACAAGAAGCCGAAAGGCUGCUUAAAAACAUCGCGAACCUAUCCAUCAGCGUUGCUUUCGGCGGGAGGAGGCCGCGGGGCCGGCGUCUGCUGGGCCGGGGCCGGGGACCCGCACCUCUCGGGGGUGCGGGGCCCGCCCGCCGGAGGUAUGAAACUCUUCUGCAUCUAUAGUGGAAUCUCUGAGUAAGCAAGCAAAUAAGUCAAAACUUUCAACAACGGAUCUCUUGGUUCUGGCAUCGAUGAAGAACGCAGCGAAAUGCGAUAAGUAAUGUGAAUUGCAGAAUCAGUGAAUCAUCGAUCUUUGAACGCACAUUGCGCCCGCCAGUACUCUGGCGGGCAUGCCUGUUCGAGCGUCAUUUCAACCUCAAAGCCCCUGGCUUGGUGUUGGGGCCCUGCGGCUGCCGCAGGCCCCGAAAUGGAGUGGCGGGCUCGCGGCGAACUCCGAGCGUAGUAGAAUCCUAUCUCGCUAGGGAGGCGCGGCGCGCUCCGGCCGUUAAAGGACCUUCUUUUAACCCAAGGUUGACCUCGGAUCAGGUAGGAAUACCCGCUGAACUUAAGCAUAUCAAUAAGCGGAGGAAAGAAACCACAGGGAUUGCCCUAGUAACGGCGAGUGAAGCGGCAACAGCUCAAAUUUGAAAUCUGGCUUUGGCCGAGUUGUAAUUGUAGAGGAUGCUUUUGGCGAGGUGCCGUCUGAGUUUCCUGGAACGGACGCCAGAGAGGGUGAGAGCCCCGUAUAGUCGGACACCGAACCUCUGUAAAGCUCCUUCGACGAGUCGAGUAGUUUGGGAAUGCUGCUCAAAAUGGGAGGUAUAUCUCUUCUAAAGCUAAUACUGGCCAGAGACCGAUAGCGCACAAGUAGAGUGAUCGAAAGAUGAAAGCACUUUGAAAGAGGGUUAAAUAGCACGUGAAAUUGUUGAAAGGGAAGCGCUUGUGACCAGACCUGUGCCGGGCUGAUCAUCCAGUGUUCUCACUGGUGCACUCGACCCGGCUCAGGCCAGCGUCGGUUCUCGCAGGGGGAUAAAGCUCUGGGAACGUGGCUCCUCCGGGAGUGUUAUAGCCCGCUGCUUAAUACCCUUGCGGGGACCGAGGUUCGCGCUCUGCAAGGACGCUGGCGUAAUGGUCUCAGCGACCCGUCUUGAAACACGGACCAAGGAGUCGAGGUUUGCGCGAGUGUUUGGGUGUAAAACCCGCACGCGUAAUGAAAGUAAACGUAGGUGAGAGCUUCGGCGCAUCAUCGACCGAUCCUGAUGUAUUCGGAUGGAUUUGAGUAAGAGCGUAUAGCCUCGGACCCGAAAGAUGGUGAACUAUGCCUGUAUAGGGUGAAGCCAGAGGAAACUCUGGUGAGGCUCGCAGCGGUUCUGACGUGCAAAUCGAUCGUCAAAUAUGGGCAUGGGGGCGAAGACUAAUCGAACCAUCUAGUAGCUGGUUACCGC